rnacentral:rRNA from 1 species
GGAUCAAUUUGUCGGUCGUGCCUCGGUACGUACUGGCAUUAUUGGUUUCUCCCUUCUGACGAACCACGAUGUCAUUAAUUUGGUGUUGUGGGAAAUCAGGACUGUUACUUUGAAAAAAUUAGAGUGUUUAAAGCAGGCUCACGCUUGAAUACAUUAGCAUGGAAUAAUGAAAUAGGACGUUUGAUUCUAUUUUGUUGGUUUCUAGGAUCGACGUA